CCCUGGCUCAGGACGAACGCAGGCGGCGUGCCUAAUACAUGCAAGUCGAGCGGAAUGAUGAAGAAGCUUGCUUCUUCUGAUUUUAGCGGCGGACGGGUGAGUAACACGUGGGCAACCUACCUUGUAGAUUGGGAUAACUCCGGGAAACCGGGGCUAAUACCGAAUAAUCCAUUUUGCUUCAUGGCAAGAUGUUGAAAGGCGGCUUCGGCUGUCACUACGAGAUGGGCCCGCGGCGUAUUAGCUAGUUGGUAGGGUAAUGGCCUACCAAGGCGACGAUACGUAGCCGACCUGAGAGGGUGAUCGGCCACACUGGGACUGAGACACGGCCCAGACUCCUACGGGAGGCAGCAGUAGGGAAUCUUCCACAAUGGACGAAAGUCUGAUGGAGCAACGCCGCGUGAGUGAAGAAGGUUUUCGGAUCGUAAAACUCUGUUGUAAGGGAAGAACACGUACGAGAGUAACUGCUCGUACCUUGACGGUACCUUAUUAGAAAGCCACGGCUAACU
rnacentral:rRNA from 1 species